rnacentral:miRNA from 1 species
GGUUGUGUGUUUGUGUGUGU